CCACAGCUAGAUUCCCCUCCCCCUGGAACCAGAGGUGAACUUCUGUUUGGUCUGGGGUAGUGCUGUAACUCAGAAUGCCUUGCAAAAAUCGUUCUGAGUUAUAUCUGUGAGGUGCACUU